CCCUCUAUACUCUACAUAUAGGCUCCAAUUUACUUCUAGCCUAUAGUAGCUCCUUCCUUUCCACGUUCGCUCAUUUCGACGGAACUCGGCACGACUUACGGGGAAGUGAUAUGUUACAUAGUUCCUACUAAUUUCAUAACCAAACGGAGUCUAAAAAAUAUUGUAAAACUAAAAUCUACUAUUUUCUCUAAAAAAUCUUACAAUAUUUUUCGGGUCACCUCCCCGACUCGCCCAACUUUCUCCUUCUCAUCUCUGAUCUCCCUUCCAUUGCCCUCUCCACAACUCCUAACCAUCUCACCGCUGCUGCUGCUGCUCUUAUCUCAGCCGCCGCCGCCGCCACACUCAUUUCGGCCACCGCCGUUGCUGCACUCAUCUCUCCCACCGCCGCAACAGUCACAGUCACCUUGGCCGCCGCCGCCACACUAACCUCGGCCGACAUUUUCUUACCUCGAGUUUCUCUACCCCCUCGACUU
rnacentral:lncRNA from 1 species